rnacentral:misc_RNA from 1 species
AACGCACAUUGCGCUCGCCAGUAUUCUGGCGAGCAUGCCUGUUCGAGCGUCAUUUCAACCAUCAAGCUCUGCUUGCGUUGGGGAUCCGCGGCUGCCCGCGGUCCCUCAAAAACAGUGGCGGGCUCGCUAGUCACACCGAGCGUAGUAACUCUACAUCGUUCUGGUCGUGCGGCGGGUUCUUGCCGUAAAACCCCCCAAUUUCUAAGGUUGACCUCGGAUCAGGUAGGAAUACCCGCUGAACUUAA